GAGAGCUCGGAGCUGGCUCCAUGGGAGAGGGACCUUCGCUUGCCACAGCCUUCCCAGCUGGGAGAAGCAGUGCCGGCUCUGGUCCCACAGCCCUAUCAGCCGAGCCAGUGCCGAAUUAAUCACUCGCGUUUUAAAUGCCAAUACAGCCCUCUCUGCCGUCUUUCCCCAGUGAUGCGGAUGCGGCGAAGGCAGCAAAUCCUCCGGCUGUGUGUGCCCUCCCCGGACUGCUGCUCCCUCCCCGCCUGUCGUGCUCGCCUGUGUGCCAGCCUGGAAGAGCUGCUUAGGUGCAGCCGGGAAUGAGACAGCUGUGGGGCAGGGGACAGCACAGCUUCAAGGAGUGACACAAGGUGGGGGAUAACCUCCUCUUCGCCCCCCCACUCCUACACACACACACAUCCACAGGGCUGCAAGUUGCUGAAGACAGGGGUCUUUUGCACCUCCACUUCGUCUCUUGUCAUGCCCCAUUUGGAAGCUGGGAGCAAUCGCCCCUCCAGGAGCAGAAGGCGAAGUCGCUCGCAAUGAAUCCAUGGCAGCUCGGAUCGAGCGGUGAGCCGGAGCACCUACUCACAGGCCACUCCUUGAUGUGACUGAAGAGAGGCCUUUCCCAGCACAUGCCGAGGAGAGCAGAGCCCUGGAUUUAUGUCCCGCACACCGGGCCACCCCCAGCACAAGCACCGCCAGAUUCCAGUGACAGAUGGAUCUCUCUCGUGCACACUUGCUCUUUCCCUCUCUGGUGGCUUUUUUUGGGUUUGAUGUGUUUGAUCUGAAGCUCUGAAGCUUCUCAGAGGGAACUCUGGAGAGAAGGAAGAGAAGGAGAAGGAACCAAGGAACUGUGAGCGACAGAGGAGGCAGCCCUACCUUGUUCUUGUGAUCUGGAAAUCACACCGUGGAGGGAUGGGGGAAGACUAGAGGCAGGGAGAACUUGGUUUGCUUCUGGG